UUUUAUUUCAUACGUUUUUGUCUCCGUUCUUUAUUCUUUCAACUUCUUCUCCUUUUCCUCAUUAUAUUUCUCCACCUUUUUAUAAGACCUUAUUUCGUGGUUCAUUCUCCUCAACCAGAAUAUUUUGUCCUUUUUUUCAUGAUUUUAUUCAUGCAAGCUUUUCACAGAAAGAAAGAAAGAAACGAAAUAGGAUGUGGCUGAUUUUUUGGUGAAGAGAAAUGAAUACGCAGGUGAUUUGAUAAAAUAUUGAAUAUGUAGAAGAAUGCAUGGCAAGAAGGGUUUUGUUGGUUGGUAUAGUUGAGGAAAUAUGUGAUGAGACAUUUCAUGUUGACAGAAGAGAGAGAGCACAACCCGGGAAUGGUUGUAAAGAGAGUCUUUGCCUUUGUUGGGAGUGUGCUCUCCCUUCUUCUGUCAUCAUCACAUCACUCACACUAUACUUUCCAUCUUUGGCUAUAUAUGAGACAUUUGCACGAUUAUCUCAUACCAAUCAAGGCUCGGUGAGUGACUCCAGAGAUCUUUUGACAGUGUGGGACUGCUUUGUACCAGUCAUCGUAGAUUCCUGGAAAUGGUCCAUUGAAGACCACAUACCAUUUCUUUGGUUCUCUUACAAUAAUUUCAUCAAUUGGACUCUUUCUUUUGAUCUGUGAUCUUAUUAGUUCUAUCUCAUUUUCAAUUAA